rnacentral:rRNA from 1 species
UACGUAGGGAGCAAGCGUUGUCCGGAAUCAUUGGGCGUAAAGAGCGCGUAGGCGGUCCGGUAAGUCCGCUCUGAAAGUCCGGGGCUCAACCCCGGGAGGCGGGCGGAUACUGUCGGGCUAGAGUCCGGAAGAGGCGAGUGGAAUUCCUGGUGUAGCGGUGAAAUGCGCAGAUAUCAGGAGGAACACCAAUGGCGAAGGCAGCUCGCUGGGACGGUACUGACGCUGAGGCGCGAAAGCGUGGGGAGCAAACAGG